rnacentral:rRNA from 1 species
GACGAACGCUGGCGGCGUGCUUAACACAUGCAAGUCGAACGGAAAGGCCCUGCUUUUGUGGGGUGCUCGAGUGGCGAACGGGUGAGUAACACGUGAGUAACCUGCCCUUGACUUUGGGAUAACUUCAGGAAACUGGGGCUAAUACCGGAUAGGAGCUCCUGCUGCAUGGUGGGGGUUGGAAAGUUUCGGCGGUUGGGGAUGGACUCGCGGCUUAUCAGCUUGUUGGUGGGGUAGUGGCUUACCAAGGCUUUGACGGGUAGCCGGCCUGAGAGGGUGACCGGCCACAUUGGGACUGAGAUACGGCCCAGACUCCAACGGGAGGCAGCAGUGGGGAAUAGUGCACAAUGGGCGGAAGCCUGAUGCAGCAACGCCGCGUGCGGGAUGACGGCCUUCGGGUUGUAAACCGCUUUCGCCUGUGACGAAGCGUGAGUGACAGUAAUGGGUAAAGAAGCACCGGCUAACUACGUG